rnacentral:lncRNA from 1 species
GACUAUCCCCAUAUGUCUAUAAGUUAUAAAUUAUAAUUUAUAAAACAAAGGAAGAAUGUUUCAGCCUCCUCGUGUAGAAGAAAAGUGAGAGCGAUUUUUAGACGCACUUUCUGUUGUUUUUAAUAUUCCUUGGUAGAGUAAAGCGUAUAAUGCUUUUGCUAGGACUAAAGCAUUAAAAGAUAGUGGCACAUCAAAGACUAUUUCGUCAUCAUUUUUAUUAUUUUAGUGGAAACGAGAUGCAUUUUACCCACUAGGGUGUGUUCAUGAAGCAACAGCUGAGUAGGAGAAGGAGGUAUGCGAGAGAAAAGAACUGGAGAACUCCCUGGAUCCCAAAGAAAGUGUAUUCAGAGGGAUUUCGCGCAAUGGAUCUUCCUAAAAAGCAUUCACAAAGAUGAUAUAGAGAUCCACAUUCGUCCAAUGGUUUCAGGCGAGUCAAACGCCUUCAUCUCCUUUCUACAACGUCAGGUUCCGUUCAAGGGAUAUUUCUUCUUCCUUCCUCACUCCCUGUAUGGGAUAAUAUCUCCUUGUAGAGAAGAAUCCUUGAGAGGACAGAUACCCUUCACAUCAACAUCUGCGAUCUGUGUCACUUCUCACCUAUUGACUCAUUGUCCCUACCUUCAAGAAUACAUCAUUUUCUACAGAUCUCCUACGGGCUUAUCAUUGACUUCAUAAGAAACAGGAAGCUCCAUAAACAACACUCCAACUUAAUUAAAAACUGUGUGUGACUCAGAAACAGAGAGAGUUACUCAAUAUUUCCCUGCAUCCUCAACUCCUUCAUUGAAGUCCGUGUGUCCAUUCCUACUUUAACUCAACACUGCUUCGUCUCUAAGAAAUCUAUUUCAUUUUUGAGAGUCCUUCAGUGUCCUUGAUGUAGAUCAUGCAGAAAUAACUUAUCUUUAUCACAUUUACAUUAAUUCUAUGUAUUAGGUGGAGUCCGUGAUGUAGGGUGUACAUGGUCAAUUAUAGAAGCUGGACUCUUUUCUCACUCAAAAAUAAGUUGAAGAUUAAUCUAGAAUCUUAAAGAUAAUAUGACUCUUUAUUCUCUAUAGUUUAGACUGUAAAUCAUAUUAUAUUCUGCUAUUACAUAUAAAUAGUUAUUGUAUCUUGUAUGAAAUCAUCAUUAACAUAUAUUAAAAAACGAAAGACUUUCAUUAAGAAAAAAA